GUUUUUGUCUUAUCUACUAAUCAUGUUAUGACCCUCUUUGUCUGAUCAUUCGUCUCGAUUGAAAGCAAUGUCACUGUGUUCUUCUUCGAUGAGUUGAUGUGGGUUGUGAUUUAGUACCUUGUUAGGAUUAUUCUCCCUGGAUGUGUUAGGAUCUUAUGAACUCGUCUCAUACACCUGGGUCUUAAUUCGUGAUUUGCAAUUUAGAAUAUCGGAUGCACUUCGAUUCAAACCUUGCGUGUUUGCAAUAGAAGUUGGGGUAGGGCUUGGUUGGAGCACUCAUCAGGAACUUUGAACCUGUGCAAUUGAAUAUUAUAAGCUUGGAUAAGAUGAAAAAUCAAACAGGAAACACAAGUUAAACAUUGUGUCAAUGGCCGUGUUUUGUAAGAGCAAUUUAGAGAUGCAAUUUCUGCACCGAGACUUCUCUCUUUUUUUUUUUCUUUUUUCUUGCGAGCAACAUUUAUACUGUACUGAAUAUUAAUUGGACAUCCCAUCAAUCAAUUCUCUUCUACCCUUUUUGAUCCAUCUCUCCAAUUUAGUGGGUUGAGUAGAGAAGGAACUAAGGGGCAAGAGUGAGGUUGUUCAGGAAGUACGUAAAUGCGUGCCUAGUGAUAGGAGAGUUGGUGGUGAAGAGCAUGCAUGUGCAUAACUAUCAGGAACGGAAACACAGAACGUAACUUCCUGAUAGAAUGGUCCAAGUGAUAGUAAACAUUAGCGAAGAGCCAUCGAAAGUGUGAUGUAUUAGAGAUUGUGAUGCUCAAUAGCUAAGAUAGAAGAGUCGCUACUCAUCUUGAUUUUGUAUGGAAAUAAAAAUUUUGUUACUUGAAAAUCUCUUUUUAACAUUUAUCAUUCCUCCCAAACAUCAUAUCUUAUAGGAUUGCUAUCUCAGGAUUAAGAUGCAUUUGACGAGAUACACGACCUAAAGAGAUUUAUAGAUCAAUCUAGUGGUUGGGGAAGAGGAAGCUUCACUCACUAAACUACAAAAGGUGAUCCUUCAAUUGGAGAAUAAUCAUUAAAAUACAAGAAUUAUGAAAUAGUUUUUUGUGGUUUGAUCACUGUCUAGAGGUAGUAUGCUGUAUACGAUAUUUCAAAGGGUAUCCUUCGGAGCGGACGUAUCUUAAAAGAAAAUUCAUUGACUUUAUAGGCCCAUCUGUCUAGGAAGACAAACUGAAUACAAAUUCUAGCAAAAGAAAAGACCAGCCGAUUAUCUAUCAAAGCCCGAUUGUUCAUCAAAA